rnacentral:rRNA from 1 species
UACGUAGGGGGCAAGCGUUGUCCGGAUUUAUUGGGCGUAAAGGGUGCGUAGGCGGCGCGGUAAGUCGGGUGUGAAAUCUCGGAGCUUAACUCCGAAACUGCAUUCGAUACUGCCGUGCUUGAGGACUGGAGAGGAGACUGGAAUUUACGGUGUAGCGGUGAAAUGCGUAGAUAUCGUAAGGAAGACCAGUGGCGAAGGCGGGUCUCUGGACAGUUCCUGACGCUGAGACGCGAAAGCGUGGGGAGCAAACAGG